UUCGCCCUUUUCCGGUUGAUCCCGCCGGACCUGACUGCUAUCGGAUUGAUACUAAGCCAUGCGAGUCAUUGUAGCAAUACAAGGCAGACGGCUCAGUAACGCGUAGUCAACCUAACCUAUGGACGGGAAUAACCUCGGGAAACUGAGAAUAAUGCCCGAUAGAACACUAUACCUGGAAUGGUUUGUGUUCCAAAUGAUUUAUCGCCGUAGGAUGGGACUGCGGCCUAUCAGUUUGUUGGUGAGGUAAUGGCCCACCAAGACUAUUACAGGUACGGGCUCUGAGAGGAGUAGCCCGGAGAUGGGUACUGAGACACGGACCCAGGCCCUAUGGGGCGCAGCAGGCGAGAAAACUUUGCAAUGUGCGAAAGCACGACAAGGUUAAUCCGAGUGAUUUGUGCCAAACGAAUCUUUUGUUAGUCCUAGAACCACUAACGAAUAAGGGGUGGGCAAGUUCUGGUGUCAGCCGCCGCGGUAAAACCAGCACCUCAAGUGGUCAGGAUGAUUAUUGGGCCUAAAGCAUCCGUAGCCGGCUCUGUAAGUUUUCGGUUAAAUCUGUACGCUUAACGUACAGGCUGCCGGGAAUACUGCAGAGCUAGGGAGUGGGAGAGGUAGACGGUACUCGGUAGGAAGGGGUAAAAUCCUUUGAUCUAUUGAUGACCACCUGUGGCGAAGGCGGUCUACCAGAACACGUCCGACGGUGAGGGAUGAAAGCUGGGGGAGCAAACCGGAUUAGAUACCCGGGUAGUCCCAGCUGUAAACUAUGCAAACUCAGUGAUGCAUUGACUUGUGGUCAAUGCAGUGCUGCAGGGAAGCCG
rnacentral:rRNA from 1 species